AGCGUACACGGUGGAUGCCCUGGCAGUCAGAGGCGAUGAAGGACGUGCUAAUCUGCGAUAAGCGUCGGUAAGGUGAUAUGAACCGUUAUAACCGGCGAUUUCCGAAUGGGGAAACCCAGUGUGUUUCGACACACUAUCAUUAACUGAAUCCAUAGGUUAAUGAGGCGAACCGGGGGAACUGAAACAUCUAAGUACCCCGAGGAAAAGAAAUCAACCGAGAUUCCCCCAGUAGCGGCGAGCGAACGGGGAGGAGCCCAGAGCCUGAAUCAGUGUGUGUGUUAGUGGAAGCGUCUGGAAAGGCGCGCGAUACAGGGUGACAGCCCCGUACACAAAAAUGCACAUGCUGUGAGCUCGAUGAGUAGGGCGGGACACGUGGUAUCCUGUCUGAAUAUGGGGGGACCAUCCUCCAAGGCUAAAUACUCCUGACUGACCGAUAGUGAACCAGUACCGUGAGGGAAAGGCGAAAAGAACCCCGGCGAGGGGAGUGAAAAAGAACCUGAAACCGUGUACGUACAAGCAGUGGGAGCACGCUUAGGCGUGUGACUGCGUACCUUUUGUAUAAUGGGUCAGCGACUUAUAUUCUGUAGCAAGGUUAACCGAAUAGGGGAGCCGAAGGGAAACCGAGUCUUAACUGGGCGUUAAGUUGCAGGGUAUAGACCCGAAACCCGGUGAUCUAGCCAUGGGCAGGUUGAAGGUUGGGUAACACUAACUGGAGGACCGAACCGACUAAUGUUGAAAAAUUAGCGGAUGACUUGUGGCUGGGGGUGAAAGGCCAAUCAAACCGGGAGAUAGCUGGUUCUCCCCGAAAGCUAUUUAGGUAGCGCCUCGUGAAUUCAUCUCCGGGGGUAGAGCACUGUUUCGGCAAGGGGGUCAUCCCGACUUACCAACCCGAUGCAAACUGCGAAUACCGGAGAAUGUUAUCACGGGAGACACACGGCGGGUGCUAACGUCCGUCGUGAAGAGGGAAACAACCCAGACCGCCAGCUAAGGUCCCAAAGUCAUGGUUAAGUGGGAAACGAUGUGGGAAGGCCCAGACAGCCAGGAUGUUGGCUUAGAAGCAGCCAUCAUUUAAAGAAAGCGUAAUAGCUCACUGGUCGAGUCGGCCUGCGCGGAAGAUGUAACGGGGCUAAACCAUGCACCGAAGCUGCGGCAGCGACGCUUAUGCGUUGUUGGGUAGGGGAGCGUUCUGUAAGCCUGUGAAGGUGUGCUGUGAGGCAUGCUGGAGGUAUCAGAAGUGCGAAUGCUGACAUAAGUAACGAUAAAGCGGGUGAAAAGCCCGCUCGCCGGAAGACCAAGGGUUCCUGUCCAACGUUAAUCGGGGCAGGGUGAGUCGACCCCUAAGGCGAGGCCGAAAGGCGUAGUCGAUGGGAAACAGGUUAAUAUUCCUGUACUUGGUGUUACUGCGAAGGGGGGACGGAGAAGGCUAUGUUGGCCGGGCGACGGUUGUCCCGGUUUAAGCGUGUAGGCUGGUUUUCCAGGCAAAUCCGGAAAAUCAAGGCUGAGGCGUGAUGACGAGGCACUACGGUGCUGAAGCAACAAAUGCCCUGCUUCCAGGAAAAGCCUCUAAGCAUCAGGUAACAUCAAAUCGUACCCCAAACCGACACAGGUGGUCAGGUAGAGAAUACCAAGGCGCUUGAGAGAACUCGGGUGAAGGAACUAGGCAAAAUGGUGCCGUAACUUCGGGAGAAGGCACGCUGAUAUGUAGGUGAAGCGACUUGCUCGUGGAGCUGAAAUCAGUCGAAGAUACCAGCUGGCUGCAACUGUUUAUUAAAAACACAGCACUGUGCAAACACGAAAGUGGACGUAUACGGUGUGACGCCUGCCCGGUGCCGGAAGGUUAAUUGAUGGGGUCAGCGCAAGCGAAGCUCUUGAUCGAAGCCCCGGUAAACGGCGGCCGUAACUAUAACGGUCCUAAGGUAGCGAAAUUCCUUGUCGGGUAAGUUCCGACCUGCACGAAUGGCGUAAUGAUGGCCAGGCUGUCUCCACCCGAGACUCAGUGAAAUUGAACUCGCUGUGAAGAUGCAGUGUACCCGCGGCAAGACGGAAAGACCCCGUGAACCUUUACUAUAGCUUGACACUGAACAUUGAGCCUUGAUGUGUAGGAUAGGUGGGAGGCUUUGAAGUGUGGACGCCAGUCUGCAUGGAGCCGACCUUGAAAUACCACCCUUUAAUGUUUGAUGUUCUAACGUUGACCCGUAAUCCGGGUUGCGGACAGUGUCUGGUGGGUAGUUUGACUGGGGCGGUCUCCUCCUAAAGAGUAACGGAGGAGCACGAAGGUUGGCUAAUCCUGGUCGGACAUCAGGAGGUUAGUGCAAUGGCAUAAGCCAGCUUGACUGCGAGCGUGACGGCGCGAGCAGGUGCGAAAGCAGGUCAUAGUGAUCCGGUGGUUCUGAAUGGAAGGGCCAUCGCUCAACGGAUAAAAGGUACUCCGGGGAUAACAGGCUGAUACCGCCCAAGAGUUCAUAUCGACGGCGGUGUUUGGCACCUCGAUGUCGGCUCAUCACAUCCUGGGGCUGAAGUAGGUCCCAAGGGUAUGGCUGUUCGCCAUUUAAAGUGGUACGCGAGCUGGGUUUAGAACGUCGUGAGACAGUUCGGUCCCUAUCUGCCGUGGGCGCUGGAGAACUGAGGGGGGCUGCUCCUAGUACGAGAGGACCGGAGUGGACGCAUCACUGGUGUUCGGGUUGUCAUGCCAAUGGCACUGCCCGGUAGCUAAAUGCGGAAGAGAUAAGUGCUGAAAGCAUCUAAGCACGAAACUUGCCCCGAGAUGAGUUCUCCCUGACUCCUUGA
rnacentral:rRNA from 1 species